UUAUUUCAUAUCGGUUGAGAAUAAGAUGCUCUUAUUGGAUAAAAAGGGGUCACAUGUUAUUCAUUAUUCUUCAGUAAUAAAUUCCAUCGGUCAUUAACAGAACAAAACGGACCAGAAAACCGGUCGUUAACAAACUUUUACAUGAUAAUGACCGGUGUGGCGAGGUUUCCGUCUGAUAAUGACCGUUGGGGCGUGGUUUCCGUCUGAUAAUGACCGUUGGGGGGGUGUUUCUCUGUUAAUGACCGCUGGGGCGUGGUUAUUCUGUUCAGAUAGGUGUAUCUUUAAUAAAACAUUUUCCUGAUUUUAAUAUUAUAUUUUAGUUGUUGAAUUGUUAAUCAUAUGUUUUCGUUAACUAUAAAAUUAAAGAAAACUUGAUUAAGUAUCUAUAUACUGAAAAAAUGCACUAAAAUCAAUGGCAGUAUUACUACGACUGGUCUCCACUCUGUGCCAUAGAAAUCGUAAAACUACUCAAGUUUGCUUUAGGCAUUUAGAAUUUAUUCGAAUUUUCCAAAACAUGGUUUCUCAAUGAAAUAAACAUAAUAGUUCUUGAAAAACUGUUCAUUAUCGUGAUACAUGGACUGCCCGUAGGACAGAAGUAUUGACUACGACAGCGAUAAUGACCUCGCC
rnacentral:lncRNA from 1 species